rnacentral:tRNA from 1 species
GGUCGCGUAUUUCAGUUGGUUCAGAAUCUUGUACUAAUAUUAUCCGAAGUCUCCGGACCAGGUGGAUUAGUCAUGCAAUUGUCGGCGGUUCGAGCCCGUCCGUGAUCA